AUCCACGCUGAGGUGUUUCAAACCUCAAGAACUGACAGCAAUGUAAAGGUGGAUGCUGAGAAGGUUUUCAGCUCGGACUCUUCAGCUCUGUUGUUUGACGUGAAGAGUUGCAGUAAAGUACAGCUCCACAUUAACAUGGAAGACGGCAGAACAGUUAUCGACAUAUAUCCAAACAAGACUUCUCAUAUGCAGUUCUGUGACUCCAGCUACAAUGAUUACUGCUAUGGGGAGAUGUUGGCUUUGUCCGGGGACAUGUGUGACGACUACACACCUCUGUGGGUGACGGUUUCAGCAUAUGAUACCCAUAUCGGUGAAGGUUGCGAAGUUGGAGAAUUCCGUCUGUGGUCAAAUUAUUUUUGGCUCGACACACUGAACAUUGAAAGCAUCGAAAUCUCUUCAGUAGAUAAUGCAUGGUGGCGACUUGGAAAAUCUUUAUGCCAAUCUGGGACCACGCCAGCUACUUCCACAACGUUGACAAUGCUCCCUGCAACAAUGCCUGCUACGGCACCCGAAGCGACACCCGAAGCGACAUCCGAAUCACCAGGAUCCUUGACAAAUGGUGCAAAGAUGAAUGAAACAAUGUUUCGGAACGUGGACAUUUGACGAUCUGCCGGAGUUGUCAGCAGCAACUCCAUCACUGGGAUGACCAUCGAUGUUACGUUGAUGUCCUGUUUACGGUUCUGAGGAAAUAUGCAAUCCUGGGAAACUGACCUGUAAACACA